AUAAUGUAGCUCUGCACAAAUUCUUUCAGGAAAACUUCUAAAUAACUUAAAUCACCACUAUCUCUUCCUAAAACUAUUCAGCUAUUAAGAGGCGUUCACUAUUCAGUAAAACAAUCAAAAUGGGCCACGAAA